rnacentral:lncRNA from 10 species
UGACAGAGCAAGACUCCGUCUCAAAAAACAAAAAACAAAAGGGAUCAUGUGCUUCUCAUGGUGUGACUUGUUUUCUACCUAUAUUAUAUAACACUUCAUCAUUAAUGCAUUCAAGUGCCAACUUGACUGCAUUGAGGAAUACCGAGAGAACUGGUAAAGCAUUAUUUCUGGUUGUGUCUGUGAGGGUGUUUCCAGGGGAGAUUGCUGUGAGUCAGUGGGCUGAGUGGGAAACAUCCACCCUCAAUGUGGCAGGCAUCAUCCAAUCAUUGUGGGUCCUGGUGGAACGAAAAAAGGGAGAAAAGGAUUUCCUCCCUUUCUCUCUGUCCUGGAGCUGGGACACUCUCCUCCUCCUGCUCUUGGUGAUCAGAACCCUGGCUCUCUGGCUUUGGGACUCCAGGACCCAUACCAGUGGUCCUCUGACCAGUGGAAGUAUUCUCAGGCCUUUGGUCUUGGACUGAGAAUUACACCAUUGGCAUCCGUGGUUCCAAAGCCUUCAGACUUGGACUGAGCCAUGCUGCUACUGGCAUCCCAGGGUCUCCAGCUUGCAGACAGCCUGUAGUGGGAACGGCCUGUAGUGGGACUUCUCCGCCUCCAUAAUCACGAACCAGUGGUCUCUGCUGCUCCGUGUUACGUCAAACAGCCUCUCUCACGGAACUGAAUAUGGAGGCAAAUAACUCAAGGAUGAAAAAUGAGUCUCUCCCUGUCACUCAGGCUGGAAUACAGCAGCAUGAUCUCGGCUCACUGCAACCUCUGCCUCCUGGGUUCAAGCGAUUCUCCUGCCGCAGCCUCCUAAAUAGCUGGGAUUACAGGCGCCUGCUACCAAGCCCGGCUAGUUUUUGUACUUUUAGUAGAGAUGGGGUUUUGCCAUGUUGGCCAGGCUGGUCUUUAACACCUGGCCUCAAGUUAUUCGCCCGCCUCGGCCUCCCAAAGUGCUGGGAUUACAGGUGUGAGCCACCACGCCUGAACUCACCUGGAUUAUUUGAUUAAGGUGAUGUCUACCAGGUGUCGCCACGGGAGUUUUUUUUUUUUUUUUAAAGGACACUUUUUUACCUUAAUGGAUGCUCACCGACUAUGAGCCAGAAAAAAAAGAAAAACAGAAUGAAAGAAUGUGUAUGAAAUGUAAAUCCAUCAGUGAUGAUGAAAUCUAGCAGCAAAGUAUGAUUAGAGAUAUGACAAUGUUUUCUGAUUCUCUGGAAACGGAACCUGCCUUAUAACGUACAAGUCUUUAACUUUAGGGGAUGUUUUUAAGAAAGUAUACAUAGGCACUGCCUGUGCCGACUGGGUGUUCUCAUUCUGCCUGGCUCCCAGUGACCCUUUUUCAGUGUUUUGUUCACUUUAAAGCUGAGACAGUAGGUCACAAUCAACCUCUUGGGUAUUUUUUGUUUUCAUUUUUGUUUUUCUGAGACGGAGUCUCACUCUGUCACCCAGGCUGGAGUGCGGUGGCAUGAUCUGGGCUCACUGCAACCUCUGCCUCCCAGGUUCAAGUGAUUCUCCUAUCUCAGCCUUCCAAGUUGCUGGGAUUAUAGAUGUGUGCCACCACGCCUAGCUAUUUUUUGUAUUUUGGGUGGAGACCGGGUUUCACCACGUUGGCCAGGCUGGUCUUGAACUCCUGACCUCAGGUGAUCCCUCUACCUUGACCUUCCAAGGUGCUGGGAUUAUAGGUGUGAGCCACCACGCCCGGCCUUGUUUUUUUUUUUUUUUUUUUUUAAUAGAAACGGGGUCUUGCUCGGUUACCUGGGCUGGAGUGCCGUGGCACAAUCAUAGCUCACUGCAGCCUCAAACUCCUGGGCUCAAGCAGUCCUCCCACCUCAGCCUCUCGAGUAGUUAGGACCACAGCCACAUACCACCAGGCCCAAUUUGUUUUUUAAUUUUUAUUUUUUGGUAGAGGUGGAGUCUCGCUAUGUCGUCCAGGCUGGCCUUGAACUUCUGACCUCAAAUGAUUUUCCCGCCUCCAUCUCCCAAAGUGCUGGGAUUAUGGGCAUGAGCCACUGCGCCCAGUCUCUUUGGCAGCCACUUCUUGGUGGCUGUCCUUGAGUUGGGUGACCAUAAGGUCCAAUCAGUGGAUGCUAGUGGGCCCUGGGGUGGGCUCUGCGGGCACUUUGAGGCUUGGAGCCUCCAAAAGAC